UGAAUGAGUAGAGGAGCGAGGACGCAUUAGUAUUUUUCCGGAGAAAGGCAUCGAUGAUGGAAAGAGAAAGGGUGUCUCGCCGAAGCGUAAGUGAAUGCCAUAUUCACUAUGCUGAUCCCUUGUGUAAAUAACCUGGGGAUUGCCGUAGCAGAUUGUUACGGAGAGCUACCGUCAGG
rnacentral:ncRNA from 1 species